ACUUUUAUCUGUAGAUAUAGCGGACAAGGUUCAAAGAAAACUCUAAAAAGUACUGUUGGCCUGCGCGAGUUGCAUUGACAUUGUUAGAAAGAACGUUUGGCAAAGAAUGCCAAUUCCAUAUAUUUAUACUAUAUCUUUUAACUUAGAACUAGUCUUUAGAUUAUCCCAACUUAUCUAACACAGUUGACAGAACAGAUAUAACGCGCAAGGUUAAAAAUAUCCGCACGGUAAGGUUAAAUACAAUAAGAUUCAGACAAUUCCAUCGGUUAAUUCCACCUUAACGAAAAUACACUGAUCAACGUUCCUUCGUUAAAUGCCUGUUAUUUAUUGCUACGUGUUAUCUUCGUGGAGCACGCACUGUCCAAACAAAUGCGUGUUUUUAGGCAGAAAUUUGCCAUAUAAAAGUCGCGAACAUCGGUGCCUUCACGCUAAAAGUAAAAACGCGCUGAAAAGGUGCUAACCGAACGAAUAUUCUCAACGAAAGUCAUCAUGUCGCCAUACCUCGUAGCUUUCUUACUCGUCGUUGUGGUUCUCGUUGAUUUAGGCUCGACUGCAACCACAUCGGUUUGCUCAACGAACGAAGAAUGGAUUCGUUGUGGACUGUCGUGCGAACCAAGUUGCAACGAUAGACGUCCGAAUAUCACAAACCCCUGUCCCCGCAGUUCCCGCAGUCCCCGUGGUCUAUAUACCGAAUUUUUUCUAGGUGGUCCUGGUCCCGUAUGCGUUUCCGGCCCCAGUUGUCAGUGUGUCGGAGGUACUUUACGAAACGAAGCCACUAACGAAUGUGUACUACCGGAAAACUGUCCAUAAAUUGAAUAUAUUUUAAUAUUUAUCAAAAAUCGUGAUGCGCGAUUCGCAAAUUCGAGAAAUGGUUUCGUUGAGAUCCAUUGAAUUUCGAAAAUUUCCUUACUGACCGAAGAAGAUGUCGAGAAAAUCAUCUGUAGAAUCGAGCACGAAGAUAUCUAGUCUGAAUUAAUAAAUCGUGCGACUGGAAGAAAUAUUUUUAGAUUUUUAUUAAUUUCUAAACAGUUCUAAAACGAUUUAACGAUAUUUAGCGAUUUCUAUAAUUUUCUACAAGUAUUUUCACCAUUCUAAUGAUGUUUAACGAUUUCUGAUACCGGUUCUGACUUGAUUUUACCAUAGAUAUAGCGCUUCUGCCGUUUCGACCGAUUCUUAAGAGUUUUCUCGCUUACAAGAGUUGAUAUUUCUUUCGGAGUACAAUGCCACGCGCAAAAGGUUUCAUUGUAGUACGCCAUAGUUAAGCAAUUCGUAGUUUAAUGCAAUAUUUAAUUUUGUAAUGACUCUAUCCGUUAAAACAACUGCAUUUUUAUCGUUCACAAAUUGUUUACGCGUAGAUUACCUUGAAUUCUACCUCGUAGAACACUUUUGUAUUUAUUUUUAGUUACGUAAGCAGAAUCGUUUCCGUUUUUACGUUGAAACGCGAAUGUGGCUGAAUUGAAGCGAUGAAAAUACAUACAAUUUUAAUGCCUUUUUGUACCAUUUCUUUGAAUCUGUCAACUGGAUUCAAAGCACGUUUCACGAAUAAUUGUGCAGUAUGUACGGCAGAGGAAAUGUUGUGUCAUCCACUAGGUUCGCGGUUUGUAAUGUUCGCAUUAUCAAGUACCAUUAAUAUUUUUGAAUACGUUUAUAAGGAGUCACAUAGUGAUUCUUCGAAGAAAGUAGUCAUGUUUGAUCAUAAAAUUUGAAACCUUUUUUGCUUGCAGUUUUAUUAUACUUAUCAUCGGUAUAAUGCGCGCUAAUAUGGAAUUCACUUGCAGGAUACCUAACACUCAUACGAGGUACUUACAUAUAAGGAAACUAGGAUAUUCUUCCAAAUGAUUUCGGUGGCCGAUCGGGACGAUAUUUCGUGGGUAUCGUUCGACAAGAUAUUUUAAACCUGAAACAUAAAAUCUUAAUUUCGGGAAAUUUGAUUUUCGGAAGAUAUAAACUCCUACACGUGCAGUAUAUUCUGAUUUUGCUUGUAUCCAAUACUAUAAAGAGAAAGUUAUAACAAGAGUAUCACCGUGAUACGUCUUUGCGGAAAAUAAGAAGCUUCCGGUUAAAGUGCUCAUAAAAGAUACAGACCCGCUCGAAGAUAUGGCUUACAUCUUUUAAACCCGUUUGUUCUAGAUUCGAGUCUACUUACGUGUAAAAGCAUCAUUAUUCUCGUCGAAGCACACACGUGUGCUCGAGAUUUUCUAAUGAAAUUAGAACCUAUUCGCAGUACACGACACGGUAUAUUCCAUCGAUCCCAUUUCCAUUUUUAUUCGUCUUACGAUUCAUUCUACUUAUCAGCGGUUGAGUUUGUCCUCCUCGUUUAAUGUUACUCGAUCCAGAGCCUGAGAAGUAUCGGACAUAUCGGAAGCAUUUCAUUAGCAACGUUUCACAUUCCUUGAAACCUCACUGGGGUUUAUCGGAGUCUGCUAAACGGAUAAUCGGUAAUUGAUUCGCACAGAGACCGGCCGAUUCUCGCCAGUACGUCCCAGCGUGGGUCGUGCGCGAAAUUAAGCGUGCCACUCGCGUCGCGAUACGAUACUAAUUAAUCGACCGGCUCACGGUUAUCCGCGCUGCACUUCUGCGGGCAUUGCAUCGUCCCGAAUUCCGCUUACUUUAACGUGGAACGAUCAAUUUGCGGUCCGAUAAUUGGCCGAUUCUCUCGAACCGUUAAGAAAACGAAAUCGAUUAUUCUUCGCCUCCACCGUACGUCCACGCGUUUCUUCCUUUUCGAUGAGAAGGAAACGCGUCCUUUCUCUGGCAGAAGCUCUACUCGCGUUUUCCUUUAUCGUUGUCGCUUCACGGAAGCUCGUUCCGUUCAAUUAACGCAGCAGUUAGUACACGCUGAUAUCAAUUUCCGCGACGUUGCUUCACGGUCGAGCGUUUACUACUUAAGUGGACACAUCCAAGCAUUGUAGGCGAGCAAUUCAAACUACUCGCGGAGUAGUUAGCGGUCAGUUUAUGCGCAGUUCAUGAGCUCCUGGAAGAGCACGGACGAACACGCCGACGUAACUAGGGUUGAAAGUACACCGGUUUGGAUUUCUAAUACGUGUAUACGAUGUACACGACGAUGUAGACUGUUCCCUGACGUAUCCAGUGAAGCAAUCGGUUAACAGGACGGGGGCCUAUUACGUAUACGGGUCGUCAAAGGGAAUUCCAAGCCUGUGACAUAUUUGAUGGUCGUUGCAGACUCGCUGACUGUUGGCAUAGUUAAAAUGUCAUUGCAUUCGGUUGAUCUAUUGUUCGCGUUUGAUCGCUGCCCCCCCUCCUUUCUUCUAUAUAAACUUCUCUGCCACGAACGAUACCGUUUGUAAUGGAGUAUCAGGCGAAAAAAAGCGAGAGAGGAGAAGGAAAAUAAAACGAACAACGUAAAAAUGGCUAAGGACGAAUUGAAAAUUAAAAUUGAAUUUAUUCCUCGAAUCGAAACUACGAUUUAUUUAUUCGUCGAAUGGAAUUGCUUCUGAUCGUUUCUCUCUUCUCUUCUAUAGAAACUCCGCCGACAUCAGCUGGAUACUUUCCGCGAUUGAAUAUCGAGCGAAAAAAAACAUAAAAUUAAAAAUGCAAAAGAAGACGAGGAUUUAAUCGACGAUUACGGAACGCUAUUUUAAAUUCAUACUACUUGGCAAACAUAAUGGAGACAGAUAGCGACGCAGGUCUUUCCUUCGUCGAAACCAUUGUAUCGAGCCCUUGCCGGCUUAGCGGAGAAAAGAAUUUCUGGCUUGUGCCACUUGGUGGAUUUCACCGGACGGCAUCUUGUUGAGAUGGAACAUUCAUGAGAGGUUCUCCCGUUCGGGAAUGCAACUUUUAUAGGGGUAAGACUCGGGGUGGGUCAUCGCAUUUAUACUUACAUUCUCUCUUUCGAACUCACGUAUCCCGUAAUCGCGUGUUCCGCCGCGAAUAAUUGAUGCGCGGGUGCCUUCCCCAGACUCGCAGUGUGUGACGUACCGUUCGAUAGAAGAUUGAACUCACCGACAAAUUACGACCUUUCCUGGGUAAAAUAGAAUUCUUUCUGAUUUAUUGGGUCCAGUCACGAGAAUCUAAAGUUAUUUCGUCAUCGAAUAUUAAAUAAAAAAAAAAAGGAAGAA